UACGAAGGGUGCAAGCGUUAAUCGGAAUUACUGGGCGGAAAGGGUGCGUAGGCGGGUAGGUAAGUCUGGUGUGAAAUCCCCGGGCUCAACCUGGGAAUGGCAAUGGAUACUGGCUGGCUAGAGUGUGUCAGAGGAUGGUGGAAUUCCCGGUGUAGCGGUGAAAUGCGUAGAGAUCGGGAGGAACAUCAGUGGCGAAGGCGGCCAUCUGGGACAACACUGACGCUGAAGCACGAAAGCGUGGGGAGCAAACAGG
rnacentral:rRNA from 1 species